UUGCAGCCAAGUAAGCCAACUGUGCUCUUUUCUACAUGGGGGUCUGGCAUGUAAUGGCUGCAAAGAACAGUCUCCUCAGUAGUGCCUGUAAGGGUUGCUCUAAUGGACCUUGGAAACAGCC
ensembl:snoRNA SNORA70 Small nucleolar RNA SNORA70